UGGUCCUUUCAAAGGGGGCUUUGGAGACAGAAACCAUGACCUCUUAAUGCUGUGAUCUAAGAUUGAAGCCCCUCCCCCCCACCGAUUUCCCCCAGGAUGGCUACACA
rnacentral:snoRNA from 1 species